GCGGUGGUAUAGUGGUAAUUAUUCCCAACUAUCAUGCGGGUGACCCGGGUUCGAUCCCCGACAACGGUG